rnacentral:rRNA from 1 species
CNUACGGGAGGCAGCAGGGGGAAUAUUGCACAAUGGGCGCAAGCCUGAUGCAGCGACGCCGCGUGAGGGAUGACGGCCUUCGGGUUGUAAACCUCUUUCAGUAGGGAAGAAGCGAAAGUGACGGUACCUGCAGAAGAAGCGCCGGCUAAAUACGUGCCAGCAGCCGCGGUAAUACGUAGGGCGCAAGCGUUAUCCGGAUUUAUUGGGCGUAAAGAGCUCGUCGGCGGUUUGUCGCGUCUAUCGUGAAAGUCCGAGGCUCAACCUCGGAUCUGCGGUGGGUACGGGCAGACUAGAGUGAUGUAGGGGAGACUGGAAUUCCUGGUGUAGCGGUGAAAUGCGCAGAUAUCAGGAGGAACACCGAUGGCGAAGGCAGGUCUCUGGGCAUUUACUGACGCUGAGGAGCGAAAGCAUGGGGAGCGAACAGGAUUAGAUACCCUGGUAGUCCAUGCCGUAAACGUUGGGCACUAGGUGUGGGGGACAUUCCACGUUUCCAGCGCCGUAGCUAACGC